UCGGGUAGGCUUCCAAAAAGGAAAGCGAGCAGAGACAGGGCCGAGUCGCCAUCGAAGAGGUAUGGUUUAAAACAUGCUCCGUGAUUGUUGUCUUAAAAUAUAACAAUGUUCGCUGUGUCUUGGCAGAAAGAGCAUCCGCCGGAUUAUAUCUAGGGAUCCUUCUCGUCACGCCUCUACCAGCCGGACUCCAGAGCCGUCCUCGACGGUGGAGGCUAAAGUUGAGACGACACUGGAUGGCCGUCCUACAGAGGAUUUAGAUAGAAUAUCCGCUACAAUUUCGAGGUGGAGAGCGCUAUGAAUCAUCGGCGUCGGCGGGACGCACUCCGCGACCCUAGUUUUUCCAAAGAGGCUUUCAAUGCCUUCAACUCAGGAGACGCGUACAUUCGAGCUUCUCAAGGUGGGCUUGCUAGAACCACAAACCAGUAUUUAAAAGAUAUACAGGCUCUUACAAAGAAGAAUACCCAUUUGUCUCAAGAGCUGGAGAAGUGUCAAGCCCAGCUAAGGGCUGCAGCUGCCGAAAUGGAGGACCAAGAAGGCCUCAUAUGGUAACAUUUCCCUCGAUCGAGAAAAAAGAUAAUCCCGGAGUGAAUCCGGAGAUCCUACAAGAGGAUGAACAAAGAGCUCAACGAUAAUUAGAAGCUGGCGAGUGUGUACUUACGCGGGUCAGGCGGGAGAAAAACGAUCUCCAGGAUGCCAAUACCCGGCUGAGCGUAGAAUUGAAAGAUGUUCGUGCCCAGCUAGAUGACUACGUGAAGGAGAAUAAAAGGCUUGAACGCGACAUUUUUAUUAUGUGCUCAAACGAACCUUUAUAUA